CGGGACACGUGGUAUCCUGUCUGAAUAUGGGGGGACCAUCCUCCAAGGCUAAAUACUCCUGACUGACCGAUAGUGAACCAGUACCGUGAGGGAAAGGCGAAAAGAACCCCGGCGAGGGGAGUGAAAAAGAACCUGAAACCGUGUACGUACAAGCAGUGGGAGCCUCUUAAUGGGGUGACUGCGUACCUUUUGUAUAAUGGGUCAGCGACUUAUAUUCUGUAGCAAGGUUAACCGAAUAGGGGAGCCGAAGGGAAACCGAGUCUUAACUGGGCGUUAAGUUGCAGGGUAUAGACCCGAAACCCGGUGAUCUAGCCAUGGGCAGGUUGAAGGUUGGGUAACACUAACUGGAGGACCGAACCGACUAAUGUUGAAAAAUUAGCGGAUGACUUGUGGCUGGGGGUGAAAGGCCAAUCAAACCGGGAGAUAGCUGGUUCUCCCCGAAAGCUAUUUAGGUAGCGCCUCGUGAAUUCAUCUCCGGGGGUAGAGCACUGUUUCGGCAAGGGGGUCAUCCCGACUUACCAACCCGAUGCAAACUGCGAAUACCGGAGAAUGUUAUCACGGGAGACACACGGCGGGUGCUAACGUCCGUCGUGAAGAGGGAAACAACCCAGACCGCCAGCUAAGGUCCCAAAGUCAUGGUUAAGUGGGAAACGAUGUGGGAAGGCCCAGACAGCCAGGAUGUUGGCUUAGAAGCAGCCAUCAUUUAAAGAAAGCGUAAUAGCUCACUGGUCGAGUCGGCCUGCGCGGAAGAUGUAACGGGGCUAAACCAUGCACCGAAGCUGCGGCAGCGACACUAUGUGUUGUUGGGUAGGGGAGCGUUCUGUAAGCCUGCGAAGGUGUACUGUGAGGUAUGCUGGAGGUAUCAGAAGUGCGAAUGCUGACAUAAGUAACGAUAAAGCGGGUGAAAAGCCCGCUCGCCGGAAGACCAAGGGUUCCUGUCCAACGUUAAUCGGGGCAGGGU
rnacentral:rRNA from 1 species